rnacentral:rRNA from 1 species
ACGAACGCUGGCGGCAUGCCUAACACAUGCAAGUCGAACGAACCUUUCGGGGUUAGUGGCGCACGGGUGCGUAACGCGUGGGAAUCUGCCUUUAGGUACGGAAUAACUCAGGGAAACUUGUGCUAAUACCGUAUGAUGUCUUCGGACCAAAGAUUUAUCGCCUAGAGAUGAGCCCGCGUUGGAUUAGCUAGUUGGUGAGGUAAAGGCUCACCAAGGCGACGAUCCAUAGCUGGUCUGAGAGGAUGAUCAGCCACACUGGGACUGAGACACGGCCCAGACUCCUACGGGAGGCAGCAGUGGGGAAUAUUGGACAAUGGGCGCAAGCCUGAUCCAGCAAUGCCGCGUGAGUGAUGAAGGCCUUAGGGUUGUAAAGCUCUUUUACCCGGGAAGAUAAUGACUGUACCGGGAGAAUAAGCCCCGGCUAACUCCGU